CCCACGGGAAAAUCCCGCGUGAGGGAUGAGGCUCUUGGGUUGUAACCUCUUUUCUCAGGUAUAAAAAAGUGUAUGGACCAGAGGAAUAAGCAACGGCUAACUCCGGGCCAGCAGCUGCGGUAAUACGGAGGAUGCAAGCGUUAUCCGGAAUGAUUGGCCGUAAAGCGUCCGCAGGUGGCUUAAGCACGUCUGCUGCUAAAGAGCAAACCUUAAUUUUGUAG
rnacentral:rRNA from 1 species